AGUGGACCCAGCGAUACCUGGUGGUGGAGCCUCCGGAGGGUGAAGGCGCCCUGUGCCUGGUCUGUCGCCGCGUUGUCGUCGCUGCCAGCGAACCCGACGUCAGGCAGCACUACGAGGCCGAGCACGGCUACUACGAGCGUGUUAAAAUUCUGAUGCAUAUAGUCUGAAAUGAUCCAGUCCUUAAAUGUAUGUUCAAGCCAGCCUGCAGAAACUCAUUAGCAAGCGCAGAAGUUUCUGAAAAGGAAGACCUUUCAUACAGUGGAGGUACUUUGUCUAACUAUCAAAGUGUUUGAGACUAUUUUUUUAGACAUAUUUCUGAGUCUGAAGUAAAUAUUGACGUAUUUCCUCCCUCUCACUUCCCCCUCACCUGCCCUAGUGAUAACGACAUUACUAAUAGAGAAAAUAAUCAAAUAACAUUUUAGUCAGAGGAGCAAGAAUUAUUUUUAAAUUGCUGGUUAAGGAGGCUUCCUGCAGUUUGGAGAUCAGCCUAACCAAUUAUUGGAGGUUUCCCCUGAAUUUUUCACAGUUGGGUGCUGUUUUAUCAGCUUGCCUACCAAAGGACUACGGUAAGUAUAGACCCUUAGGGGUUGCCCAUUAGUAGUUCUUGUUUCUACUUUAGACAGAAGUUUGGUCCUGUCAGAAAGGAUGAGGAAAAAAAGAUGUUUACCUUCCAGGAUCAGGAGGUAUGAGGUAUUUUACCUUGUUUGUCCUAUCUGCAUGGGUGUUAGAGCUGUAUAAAGAAAUCCUGCUUAAAGGAAAGCCUUCAUUUUAAAGUCAUAUGGUACCAAAUUUUGUUUGCCACUGAAAACAGAUCCAUUAUAGAAUUUGAAACUGUCCCGCAAAUUGUGUAUUUAAGACAGUGCGCACAUGGAAGUGUUUAACUCUUGAGAAGCUGCUUUAUUCACAGGUUGUAGCACUUCCAUAUUUCUAGUGAGACAUCUUUGUGCUAAAGCAGUAAUUUUCAAGCUUAUGUUAACCAUGAAAAGGAAAUCUUAGUCAAGACAAAUACGUGAAAUGAUUUAAAAGCAGGACCCAGCUUAGAGAUCCUCUCAAGUACAGUUUGAAAACUAGCGCUCAAGUCCUGUCUUAACUACUGUGACACGUUUCUAUGCUCACUAAUUCAGCAAAUUCAAGUAACCAGGAUACAAGCAAGAAUUUAGAAGGAACUAAAACCUGAGCAAUCAAAAUAUAUGCCAUAAGAGCCCAAGAAACAAAAUUGUGCCAGUGGUUCUCAGCCAGAGGCAGUAUCUCCUCCUUCCAGAGGACAUCAGGGAACAUAAAGGGGACUCUUUCGGUUGUCACAUUUAUUUGGGGGUUCUGUAAGUGUGAAGGACCUGCCCUCUCCCCAGCAGUGCAGAGGACAUCAUGGCACAGUGAAUUACCCCUCCCAAAGUGCCGGUAGAUUCUUAGUGUGGAUCAUCUUAUUUCGAGGGACAGGGCAAAUUACUGGUAGAAGCAAAACUGGAUGGGCAAGUUGGGCAAAACUGACGGUACUUGAUGGGGAGACUUAAUUCUAGCAUUCCAAGUUUGGCUGGUAGAAUGCAGUAAAGGCCGUGAUAGGUUCUGGUAGCUCACAAUAGCAUGUGUAAGUCAGCAGUCGGUAUUGAAUCAGAUGAAAGGGCUCUGUUCUAUUUUGCAUAAUUAGUUUAAGGCAGAAAAGCAAGUAUUCUGUAUAAAUAAAAUCUUUAACAAGAAUGGUCAAGUUGAGAUUUUGGUUAAAGGGAGUAAGCUUAAAUAUCUGGAAAGACCAUAGUGAAAAAAUAGCCAAACAGCAACAGAAAAUCUACCGGUGAUUUCCCAAGAGUUUGGAGUAUUGUUCCGUGGCAAGUGCUUUAUUGAAAGAAUGACUGAAAGCUGUUUCUGCUUUCUGACCCCAGGUCCUCAAAUACUGAGGCCUUGUACAUUUUGUGAAGUUCUACUAUAUAUUUUGCUUAAGGUAGUAAUAAAAUUAGUUGGCACCAUAUAGACACUAGUUGCUGAAUGUGGGACAGAUGUAAGCCAAGGAUUUAAAAUUCAUCUUGGACAAUAGAGAAUUUGCUAUAAACUAGUCUUGUUGUUUUAAAAAAAAAAAGGAGAAAAAAGUGUGUAUUUUACUGUUUUCUGUACUAAGUAAUUCUGUAACUGCAUGGCAGUCUUAAAAAACUUCUUUUUGUAAAGUAGUUGUUACUCGUCCUAUUGUAUCAGUGAAUACAUUUAAAAUAAGUACUAUUUUUUGAAAACUCGUAUGUCCCUAUAUCUCCCAUUCCUAGUAGUUUUCUUAAAAGAUUUGUCUGUAUCCCCACUCUCCUGUAUUGCCACUCAGACUGCUCUACCAAGCUCACUAAGUCCUUGUCAAUAUUCCUACCCUCUCUGACACCACUGGCCACCCUCCUUGAAGUACUUAUUUAGUUUGGCUUCAGGGAGAUCCCAUCUCCAAGUAUGUUUUCUUGGUCUUCUUUGCGGGCAUCUCUUUCUCUUAAAUAUCUGUAUCCUUGGGAUUUUUAUGUUUUGUUUUAAGCUCUUAUUCUAUGUCAUCUCCUUAGCCAAUCUCAUUUCCUUUCACAGCUUCAGUUGCCAGCUCUAUGAAAAUGACUCCCAAAUUCAUACCUCCUUUCUAGACCUUUCCUAAUUUGUAUAUCUCACUGCUAACUUAAGUCCGCUUUGCUGUCUCAUAGGCACCGCUCUAUGGCAUUGAUCUUGUCCCCAAACCUGUUCCUGGUUUCAUGAUCCCGCUUUCAGUAAAUGGCACCACCACUACCAGCCGUUCAGUGGCCCUGGCCCAAGCGCCAAACCGAGUUAUCCAUAGCUUUUCUCUCUUCAUCCAUGACAUCCACUCACAAAAACCUUUCUGUUAAGUCUACUGCCUAAAUUUUUCUCAAUUCUCCAGUACUUCUAUCCUAAUUCAGGCCAUCAGCCUACUUCAAGCCUCCUCGUUAGUCUCCCUUUCUCUGGUUUUGAUCCCUUUCCACACUGCAGCCAGGUUGUUGCAAAAGAUGUAUCUGAUCGGAUCACUCCCCUGCUUUCACCAUUGCUCUUAGAUUAACGUACAAUUUCUGUUCAUCUUUCAGGUUUCAGUUUAUAUGCCUUGAUGCACACCCUCUAACUAGGUGCCCCUACUGUGCACUCCCUAAAUAGCCUCUUCUUCCUCAGCUAUAGACUGGGCACACUUUAUUGUUCCUUCUUACUGAUCACUGCUAGACUAUAAGCUUUAUAAGGGCAGGGACAAUAUGCCUUGCUCACUGCUCUAUCUAGUGCUUAGCACAAUGCCUGACAUUUCAGUAAAUGUUUGGAUGAAUAAAUACUAGUGCAGCGUUUUACGAUCUUUGAAGCCCUCUCAUAGUCUCAUUUGACCUUCACAGUGGUCCUGCUGUAAACUGCUUGCUGGGUAAUUGUUACCCACAUAUUACAAAUUAAGAAAUGAAACUAAGUUCUUUGUGGCUAUGGAAUUGUAUUCGUAGAAUUUAGCUCAGUGUUUGGCAUGUGGCUAGCUUGCAAUUUGCCCUAAUAAACGUAAGUCGUAAAGUCGGGUAUACGCAACAUAAAUCCGUGAUGUUAUAUUGUCUUUAGUUACUUGAUGUAGAAGUCUUAAUUAAAAAAAAAAUCUGGCAAAGGAACCUGGAUGAGAAAGAUUGGACAGCUAGCUAUUUAGUUGACUAAAACAGUACUUCAGUAAUCGAAAAACUUGGCAUUCAGGUUCAGAAAAAGAUAAUGCUACGUAAGAGUUAAUUUCUGUUUGGCUUUAGUAAGCAUCAACCCUAGGAGAAAAUGGCGUACUAUUUACUUGCUAUUUUCCUUUACAGAUGAUUUCUGGCUCUUCUGGGAUUUUAAAGUAAGUAAAUUUAACAAAAUAUUAUUAGACGAAUGACUCAGCCCUUCUGGUCACUAGAUACUCAGUUCACUUGCUUUCCUACCUGCAGAAUGCCAUCACCUCCACAAGGAAGGUAAAACAAAAGUAACACCUAGACAAUGUGUAAAUUCCUAGAUUUGCUGUAUCUCUUUGCUUUCUGGUUCACAUGCCUCUCUGAACUCAGUUUCUAGGGUAGCUUGGGCUUUCGGGCUUUGUGGGAGAGCCAUUUUUUCCAAUUUAAGGAAGUCACCAGCGUUAACACUCUUAGUUGGACUUUGAGUCUGAGGCCCAUUCACUCGUUCAGAGAUCUUAAACAACAGGUGUGAUAGUCAUCCAGUGAUUUGAUCCUUGCUGCAAGUCUGGGUUUUAAUCAACCUUUGGAGUAAAGGAUUUCUUGUUUUCAUCUCUUUCUAGUUGAGAAGCAGCUUCUUCCUACCCAGUAAUACUUGAGUUUGUGAACUCUCUUUAUUCCCUUGUAUUUCUGCUGGCAAACUGAUGAAUUCUUUUCUGAGUUCAUCUCUUUCCUAUGUAUUUUGUCAAAUGGGGCUGACAGUAAUCAAAAAAAAUUUUUUUUUCCUUGUUUUUCUUUUUCUCUGAUAAAGGAUAGAUAUUCUGCCUUCCAGAUUUUCUCAAGGGACAGUCUGACCACUCUGUAACAUGCAUUGCCCCUGCAUAAGUUAUUUCCUCCAUCUUGCAGUAGCAGUUUCCUGAAUGCCUGCCAACUAAGUGAAUGUUCAGUACGCUAGGUUUUUUUGAAAACAGAAGCAAUUUCUGUAUCAGAAUGGACUUGGUUGCCAUGCAGUAAGAACCACCAAAAUCUCAGUGUCUCACACAACCUUUGUCAUGCAGCUUGGCUAGGGCCUUUGCUCUAAGUCUGGGGUUGAUGAACUAUGGCCUAGGGACAAAGUCUGUCCUGCUGCCUGUUUCUGUAAAUAAAGUUUUAUUGGAAGAUGGCCUUGCCCGUUUGUUUCUGUAUUGUUUUUGGCUGCUUUUGUUCUACAGGGGCAGAGUUGUUGUGAAGAGAGUCUCUGGCCUACAAAGUCUAAAAUAUUUGAUGUGUGACCUUUAUGGAAGAUGCUCUCUGCUCUAAGUUGUCCUGAUUCUGAGACUUAGGCUGACCAAGAGGUAUCAUCCAAGAUAUGGCUGCUCAUUUUGGUAAAUGAAAAAAGUAUCACAAAUCACUUACAGGUCCUUAAAGCACUUUAAUUGGCCGAAGCAAACCACACGUCCACACCAAAGUUCAUGGAGGAACAAGUAAUCCUUCCUUGGAUUGGAGGAGACCCAGAAAUACUUUGAAGACAAUUACAACCAUUUAAAACACAGCUGUAUGUCUCUAUAGAAUAUCUCUCAAAAUAUUUUUUCUUUUUAUUGAGGUGAAACUUACAUUCAGUAAAAGGUAGAUAUUAAGUGUACACCUUAGUGGAUUUUUAUAUACACCCUUGAACCCAUCACCCAGGUCAAGACGGAACAUUUCUAACCCCCAGUAGGUGCCCUAUGCCCCCCUCCCACACACAUAACCAUUAUUCUGACCUUUAUCACCAUGGAUUACUUCUGUCUGUUCUAAAGAUUCGUGUAAAUGUAGUAAUUAUAUGUACUCUUCUGUUCACUUUGUGUCUGUGGGUUAUCCGUGUUGUUGCCUGUAGCAGCAGUUCAUUUUUUACUUCUGUGUAGUAUUCUGUUGUAUGAUUUAUACCACAACUUAAUAAUCCAUUCUCCUGUUGAUGGAAAUUUUGGUUGUUUCCAAUUUGUGGUUAUUACAAAUAAAGUGGCAGUAAACAUUUCA